GACGAACGCUGGCGGCGUGCUUAACACAUGCAAGUCGAACGGAAAGGCCCUGCUUUUGUGGGGUGCUCGAGUGGCGAACGGGUGAGUAACACGUGAGUAACCUGCCCUUGACUUUGGGAUAACUUCAGGAAACUGGGGCUCAUACCGGAUAGGAGUUCCCGCUGAAUGGUGGGGGUUGGAAAGUUUAGGCGGUUGGGGAUGGACUCGCGGCCUAUCAGGUUGUUGGUUGGGUAGUGGCUUACCAUGGCCUUGACGGGUAGCCGGCCUGAGAGGGGGACCUGCCAAAUUGGGACUGAAAUGCGACCCAGACUCCUACGGGAGGCAGCGGUGGGGAAUAUUACACAAUGGGCUGAAGCCUGAUGCAGCAACGCCGCGUGCGGUAUGACAGCAAUCGGGUUGGAAACCGCUGUCGCCUGUGACGAAGCGUGAGUGACGGUAAUGGGUAAAGAAGCACCGGCUAACUACGUG
rnacentral:rRNA from 1 species